GACGAACGCUGGCGGCGUGCUUAACACAUGCAAGUCGAGCGAUGAAGCACCUUCGGGUGUGAAUUAGCGGCGAACGGGUGAGGAACACGUGAAGAAUCUGCCUUCAACUCUGGGAUAACACCGGGAAACCGGGGCUAAUACCGGAUAUGAGCCUUGAUCGCAUGAUCGGGGCUGGAAAGUUUUUCGGUUGAAGAUGACUUCGCGGCCUAUCAGCUUGUUGGUGAGGUAAUGGCUCACCAAGGCGACGACGGGUAGCCGGCCUGAGAGGGUGACCGGCCACACUGGGACUGAGACACGGCCCAGACUCCUACGGGAGGCAGCAGUGGGGAAUAUUGCACAAUGGGCGCAAGCCUGAUGCAGCAACGCCGCGUGAGGGAUGACGGCCUUCGGGUUGUAAACCUCUUUUAGUAGGGAAGAAGCGAAAGUGACGGUACCUGCAGAAAAAGCACCGGCUAACUACGUGCCAGCAGCCGCAGUAA
rnacentral:rRNA from 1 species